GACGAACGCUGGCGGCGUGCUUAACACAUGCAAGUCGAACGGAAAGGCCCUGCUUUUGUGGGGUGCUCGAUUGGCGAACGGGUGAGUAACACGUGAGUAACCUGCCCUUGACUUUGGGAUAACUUCAGGAAACUGGGGCUAAUACCGGAUAGGAGCUCCUGCUGCAUGGUGGGGGUUGGAAAGUUUCGGCGGUUGGGGAUGGACUCGCGGCUUAUCAGCUUGUUGGUGGGGUAGGGGCUUACCAAGGCUUUGACGGGUAGCCGGCCUGAGAGGGUGACCGGCCACAUUGGAACUGAGAUACGGCCCAGACUCCUACGGGAGGCAGCAGUGGGGAAUAUUGCACAAUGGGCGGAAGCCUGAUGCAGCAACGCCGCGUGCGGGAUGACGGGCUUCGGGUUGUAAACCGCUUUCGCCUGUGACGAAGCGUGAGUGACGGUAAUGGGUAAAGAAGCACCGGCUAACUACGUG
rnacentral:rRNA from 1 species